CCUACGGGAGGCUGCCGUGGGGAAUAUUGCACAAUGGGGGAAACCCUGAUGCAGCGACGCCGCGUGAAGGAAGAAGUAUUUCGGUAUGUAAACUUCUAUCAGCAGGGAAGAAAAUGACGGUACCUGACUAAGAAGCCCCGGCUAACUACGUGCCAGCAGCCGCGGUAAUACGUAGGGGGCAAGCGUUAUCCGGAUUUAAUGGGUGGAAAGGGAGCGUAGGCGGUUUAGCAAGUCAGAAGUGAAAGCCCGGGGCUCAACUCCGGGACUGCUUUUGAAACUGUUGAACUAGAGUGCAGGAGAGGUGAGUGGAAUUCCUGGUGUAGCGGUGAAAUGCGUAGAUAUUAGGAGGAACACCAGUGGCGAAGGCGGCUUACUGGACUGUAAAUGACGCUGAGGCUCGAAAGCGUGGGGAGCAAACAGGAUUAGAUACCCCAGUAGUC
rnacentral:rRNA from 1 species